rnacentral:SRP_RNA from 1 species
GGUCGGGUCCUGUGCAACGUCGGUCCGUGAACCGGGUCAGGGUCGGAAGGCAGCAGCCCUCAGCGAUUUCCGGUGGGUGCCGCAGAUCGCCUGACCGUC